AUUGUACAUACCUCCGUCCGAAAAUACUUGUCACCAAAACAAAUAAAAAUGGGUGUAUCUAGAACUAAAAUAUGUCUAGAUACAUCUCUUUUCAUCCAUUUUGAUGACAAGUAUUUACGGACGGAGGGAGUACGUG
rfam:Triticum aestivum genome assembly, contig: Triticum_aestivum_CS42_TGACv1_scaffold_578136_7BL